AUUCCAUCACCAUUAUUUCCAUCCGCCCCCCAUGGAUAGGGUGUUUUAUUUUGUGAACAUAGCCAAAAUAAACACCUUAUUCUUGGGGGCUGAUGGGAAAGAACAUCCAGCGAAAGA
rnacentral:precursor_RNA from 15 species